GACGAACGCUGGCGGCGUGCUUAACACAUGCAAGUCGAACGGAAAGGCCCUGCUUUUGUGGGGUGCUCGAGUGGCGAACGGGUGAGUAACACGUGAGUAACCUGCCCUUGACUUUGGGAUAACUUCAGGAAACUGGGGCUAAUACCGGAUAGGAGCUCCUGCUGCAUGGUGAGGGUUGGAAAGUUUCGGCGGUUGGGGAUGGACUCGCGGCUUAUCAGCUUGUUGGUGGGGUAGUGGCUUACCAAGGCUUUGACGGGUAGCCGGCCUGAGAGGGUGACCGGCCCCAUUGGGACUGAGAUACGAGCCAGACUCCUACGGGAGGCAGAGGUGGGAAAUAUUGCACGAUGGGCGGAAGCCGGAUGCAGCAACGCCGCGUCCGGGAUGACGGCCUUCGGGUUGUAAACCGCUUUCGCCUGUGACGAAGCGUGAGUGACGGUAAUGUGUAAAGAAGCACCGGCUAACUACGUG
rnacentral:rRNA from 1 species